AACCCAUCUUAGCUGCAAGCUUCUACGCCAUUUCCUAUCUCUAUUAUGGUGCCCUGGGCACCCUGAGCACCAUACUAUGUGGAGCCCUCAUCAGCUGCCUGACUGGCCCCACCAAGCGCAGUGCCCUGGGUCCCGGUCUGCUGUGGUGGGACCUCACACGGCAGACGGCAUCGGUGGCCCCCAAGGAAGAAGUGGCUGCCCUGGAUGACAGCCUGAUGAAGCAGGGUGCUGAGGAAUUGCCUUUGGGAAUCAAGAAGCCUCCUGACUUCCUGUCCACUAAUGAGGACCAUCUGCUCUUUCUGGGGCAGAAGGAGGUGAAUGGAGCCAGCUCCAAGACCCCAGGCAGUGAACAUGACAAAGGUCAUGACCUGCGUGAGACGGACCUCUAAGCGGGGAUGGACCACCUGGGAUGGAACCUCAGGGGGGGCCAAUCCCAGGCCCCAGGCCACAGGGUUAGGGGUUAGGGUUAGGGUUAGGGUUAGGGCCCUCAGAGGGGCCAAUCCCAGGCCCCUGGCUGGACCACAUCAUAUGCAAAUGGGUUUGAGACUGUGUGUCCCCACCUUACCGGAAGAGGUGAAGCCCCACCUCCAGAAGGUCAUAUAAUGCAGCCUCCUGCUUCUAGCCCCUAAUCUUAGAUGCUGCACCCUGCCCCCUCUCCUAAAACAAGGCCAGACUUUUCUCUAACUACAGUAUGAAGUUGUUAGAUCCUCUCUGGACAACAUGGGGAAACCCCAGGCUCCACCUUGGGGUCUGAGAAAUAUCCCAGCUCUUCCCUGGGCGGGGGGGUGGGGGGGGAUCUGAAUCUUAGCAAUGAUUUUGGAGGUCCUGAGGCCCAACCCCUAUACCCACUUUACAGGUGGAUGCUGAGGCCUGGAAAGGGGCAUUGACUUGGCCAAGGUCACAAAGCCAACCAGAGACUCAUGGAGAGCAGCUCUCCUUCCUUCAUCCCCUCCCUGUUUUCCUCCCUGUGGAGGGACAGACAUCACACAUGCUCUGAUCUUGGGGACAGGAGGGGAGGAAGAAGGAGAAAUAACAUCUUCAGCGUCUAGACACUUUAUGCAUCUCAUUUAUUAAGGACCAUGAACCCACUUCACAGAGGAAGAAACUGAGGCUCAGCGAGGUUGCCUGAGGUCACACAGGGAGUUGGGUCGGGGUAGGGAUAAGCCUGGUGCUGCAUGAUGCUGAGGCUCCAUUGACAACAUGUCACUGGUGUUCAGGGUCAGAUGGGCCCGGCUAGCUCAUGUGCCAGGGGCUUCGUCCACAUCGAAUAAAGGGACUCUCGAUGUUCUGGUCUCUCUGGAAAAGCAUUCUGGUCAUUGCCUCAGAUCUCCUCAGUCUGAGUGUGGGUCUCUGUAUCCCUUGCCUCAAGCCUGCAAAGAAUAAAUUUGCGUAUUUAAAGC
rnacentral:lncRNA from 1 species